UGAUUCUACGCUGAAUCAGAUAUUUGGCUCUUCAGAGAAAUGACUGAAUCAAUGGAAACAGAAUCUGUGAAUUUUCAAGGCAGUGAAGGAGCCAAAGAGAAGAGGCGUUCUGUGGGAACCUCUUCUUACAGAAUACUGGUUGGGGAUGUGAAUGAAGGCUGGGAGCAUCAGACAGUGGAGUUCAGGAACUCACACAGAAGAAACAAGGUAAUAAGAAGGAUUGCAAUCCUGGACUUCAGGAGAACUGUGACCACUUCAACAACCUACUUGGAUGUAUCUCAUCAAUGAGAGUGCUGGUAGGUAAAUGGACCCAAGAGAGUUGCUUGACAUUCAAGCAUUGCUACUUCUAAGACUGGUGCAGCCCAGAGAGUAAAAAAAAAUUGGGCAAAGGUUCCAGGAGAUCCACAUGGAUGAGUAAGGAGCUCGUGACAAUAUUCAAACAGAAGGAAAAAAAAAUAUCUAUGGAAUGUGGAAAUGGAGCCUGGACACUUGAAUAGAGUUCAGAAGUGUUGUCAGGACAUGCAGGGGUGCCACAAGGAAAGCUAAGGCCCACUUGGAAUUCUAUCUGCUGAGGGAAGUCAAGGACAACAAUAGAGGCUUUUUAAAUGCCCACUACUGACUGAGGUGGGUGCCCUCCUAACUGAGGACACUGAGAAGGCGAUGCCUUCUUUGCUUCAGUCAGUUUAGAAACAGAAACAGUGAAUAAAAACACACUGUGAAACGUAACUAAUAAAACACAUGAAGUAGCACAGCCAAAGUUUCAAGUGCACAGUCAGAAAUGGCACAUGACGUAACCUUACGAGUCCCAUGACAUCAUGUGCUCUAAUGCAUAUCUGCACUGGUUUCUCAACAUUCAGCAUGCAGCAAUCCUAAGAGAGAUACAAAAAUGUUUCCUGCAAUCAAAUGCUCAUCUCCAAUUCUGAAAGCUCAAUAACCACAAUUUUAAAUCAUCUGAAAUGUACCUCACUCUCUCAGUGACAGAAGCAUCUAUUUAAAGCUCUUACUGUAUUAAUCUAUGUACUGGCCAGCAUCUCUUCCCUUUUCUGAUCAUCAUGAAGCCAGAAAUAUUUUAGUAACUGUGAACAAAAAACAAAAUAUGCCUGUGGUCUAUCUAUUCUGAUAGCCUAAAUUCCUACCUGUAUGCAUUAGCGGUUGGUAUUUUAAGAUAGACUGACCAGUGGCUGCUAAAUUCAAGAAAAAGAGCAGUUCUGCAGGAUCCUGAACUAUGUGCAAAGAUAAAAACUCUCGGGAUCACAGUAUUUUCAACUUACCGUGGCCCAAAAUGAACCUUGAGAAGAGUUAAUAGUUUUAAAUGUUGUUAACUGCAAAGAUCUACCUGGAGAAGACCCUAAACUAUUCAGAAAAUCAGUGGGUCCGUCAUCAUUACUGCCACCAUGCUUUGACUGAAGGAGAUUGUAUUUCAAUUGGCAUGACCAACACUGAAAUGCUACUGAAAUCAAGGAGAAAACAUACCAAAGAAAGAUAUGGGCUUCACGAAGUCCUAGACCAGAUUAAUCAAAUCCAUGAAUAAGUCUAAUCAAUUUAAUCUGAAACUAUAAAUAUUAAAACAAUAAUAAAGUCCUAAAGGAGUAGUUCAACGGACUGCUUGACUUUCCUGACCAUCCCUAACUCUUUAAGUGAAAACAUUCAGCAAAUCAAGAGAAUUCUAAGUUGGUUUUAUGCCAGUUUAUCAAACUGAACAAGGGUCAGAUGAACGCUGAAGCAGGGGAAACACAGGCAUAGAUGGCUGAGCAUGUGCACGUGCCAUUUCACCAAUGGCAGAAGCUAAACUGCCUUAGCUUGUCUAACAGGACUCCAGGAGUGCUGUGGCUGGAUCCAAUUUCCUCAUACCUGUUGGCCCAAGUCAAAGCCUGAGCUUAGCACGAAGCACUUUCACUGCUGAAAGUAAGAUUUCCUAAGAAUAUUUAAUAAAAGCAAAAUCCCUACAGAGAAAACACGUAUAGUUCUCAAAAUACAGUAUGAUCACAGUCACCUUUGUUUGGACUUGUCCGUUCUGACAAGAAUGAAUAGCUACUUAAGGUUAAAAAAAAAAAAAAAAAAAAA